UAGGGAAUCUUCCACAAUGGGCGAAAGCCUGAUGGAGCAACGCCGCGUGUGUGAUGAAGGGUUUCAGCUCGUAAAACACUGUUGUAAGAGAAGAAUGACAUUGAGAGUAACUGUUCAUACGUUGACGGUAUUUAACCAGAAAGUCACGGCUAACUACGUGCCAC
rnacentral:rRNA from 1 species